rnacentral:rRNA from 1 species
UACGUAGGGGGCAAGCGUUGUCCGGAUUUAUUGGGCGUAAAGAGCGUGUAGGCGGCCAGGUAGGUCAGCUGUGAAAACUCGAGGCUCAACCUCGAGACGUCGGUUGAAACCAUCUGGCUAGAGUCCGGAAGAGGAGAGUGGGAUUCCUGGUGUAGCGGUGAAAUGCGCAGAUAUCAGGAAGAACACCCGUGGCGAAGGCGGCUCUCUGGGACGGUACUGACGCUGAGACGCGAAAGCGUGGGGAGCGAACAGG